UCAAAAUUUUAGUACCUAUUAGGUAUCAAUCUAGGAAAAUCUUAUGAUUUGAUUUCUAUUGAUUGUUUGAGUUCUGCAUCGAAUUUUUUUGGCAUGGAUUUAAAUUUUUCUCAAGAUUACAGUCACUUUUACUUUACUUUGCGUAAUUAGUGCCAGCAUUUUAUGAAUUACUUGGAAAAAAAUGAUAAUUUUUUGUCUCUAAAGUACUUCGCGUUCUUUAUUGGCAUGUUUUCAAAAUUAUUGUAUUUGAUUAACGUUUGAUAUUCACACUCGUGCGGUGUUUUUUUUUCUUUCAAAACAGUAUCCGCUACUGUCACUACCUAUAGUGAUCUUCAAGUUGGAAAUUUAAAAUUAUCCAAGUUGGUGCAUUUUUUCGAUCGUGACUUCAAUUCGCGGAGUGACUCUAUGUUAAAGUACUCGUAAAUUCUGAUAAAGUUUGUUCAUCUUUCGCGAAUUGUGGCUAUAUUAAUUUAUUUUCAUCAUGACAAAAACAGUAAUCUCUUCGUUUGUACUCGUAAUGCUUUCAUGCACAUUUUUUAAUAUCGCUUGUCACGCCAGCAACGAAACAGAAAUCGUUACCAUUGACAAAACCGCUUCAAGUGUAUCGAAUAUUGUUCUGAGAUAUAUUGGCGAAUUUCGGAAUUUCUCUCAGUUACAAAAUGCAAUGGAAGCAAUUUACGAAUUUCGUUUCAAAUACAACGACACAGCAAAAGAAAAUAUAUGGAGAUCGUACUGGUUAAGCACGGAAGUUCAAAACAAAUACAGAGACUCUGUCAACACGAUGGACUGGGGCUGUGAAUACGUCAUUGAGAAUAUACCUACCAAUGUAACUAAACGAGAUAUGCGACCGUACGAGAGAGCUAUUAUGUUGAGAGCCAUUAUCCAGGGACUAUAUUCUGGUCAAUAUUUUGCUAGGGAGUCGUUGAAAUCAUUCAAAUUGAUAUCACCUAAAUUGGUCGAGUUGAAGAAUUCAUUGGAUGCUACGUCAAAUGAUCUGCAUUAUAAUGAUUCUGGUUCGAACGGUUCUUUUCCUGGACAGCAGAAGCAAGAAAUACUAUUAAACGAACAGAUUGCGAACAACAGUCGAGUUUUGAACGAAAAAAUAUGUACUGCGAGGGAGAUUGCAGCUCGCUUCAAUGGAGACUUGGAUGACGAUGGAGACAUCUUGAAUGCAUUUUCAAAAAUUUCUCCUUUUGACGGAGCGAUAAGCAAUAAACAGCUGACGUCAUGGGUGAAAAAUACAACUAGUCAAUUCCAAGAUCAAUUUUAUUCAAAGAUGCGAGACUUGUUGAACAAUUGUAAAGAAUUUCGCAAAUGGCAUGCAUCAACAUCACCCCGAAUAACAUGAAUGCGACCACUAAACUAAAAGUCAGAUUCGAUGGAUGAAAAUUAUAAAUAAUGUAUACCUACCUUCAAACUAUUAUCUGUUAUUCUCAGAGAAUCAAAAUCAUUUUUGUUGAAUAACUGCCAGUAUUACAUAGUAAGUAUUUUCAAAAAAUGAAAAAAAAAACUUAGGUACCUACACAACUUGAAAAAAGGAAGAAUUUUUUUGGUGGGUAGACUAGAUACCUAUCUACGAGUAAGUAGGUACCACACUUAUGGCUGUUGAAAAAAUUAAUAAAAAAUGAUUAAUAUUUGGCAUGUUCUCAAAAUAUGUAUGUAUGUAGUGUACUUACCUAUACCAAAUAAUAAACCUUUUUAUAUUUUAUUAUUUAAU